UUAAACUCUCUGGGUUUCUCUUUUGUUUUUCCUUUAAAACAAAGGGACGUUUUCUAGACGACUUAUGCUUUAAACAUUGCAUUCAAGGAUAAACAGCAAGAGGACCUAGCUUGGACGCUGCCGACAGAGCUUUAUCAUUUUCACGUGGCGCAGAAUGUCAGAGGGAGAGAGCAAGUGCGAACAAGCAGGGGGAGCGGCGGGCAGAAGGCGAGGUCCGCGGAGCAGAGAGCCUGAUGCGGGGCUCGAUCCUCGCACCCUGAGAGCAUGACCCGAGCCGAAGGCAGCGGCUUAACCCACUGAGUCACCCAGACGCCUGGUAUUUUUCUUAUUUUCAAUUAUAAUUCGUACCUAACUCAUCACGGAAGAAGCCAAGCCGCCAGAUACAAUGUAACAAAGUGUACGUGAUUCCAAGGUGGGAGGUUCCGCCCCGCGGUCCCCCGACGGUCCUUCCCGACCCGUGGAGGCCACUGGUGCCUUUGCGGCCAGAGUCUCACCCCCUGAGUCGCGGCCCUGAGCUGCACCACACUCUCUUAAAGGGGUCACAGGGGAAGACACCAAACAGUACCAACGACUUGUUGUCAUUCGCCCCUUGAUUCUGCGAAGAUUCCAGGGCGCCUGUUCCGCCAGCCCCGCGGCCGAGGGACGGCACCGGGGGACACAGGACCGGGACCUCAGCCCUCGGGGACAGUCCGCGAUUCCCCUUCCUUUAUCUAAACCCCCACCUCCGCCCGCCGGAAGCCUUCUUCACCCGACGUUUUCUUGGAAUUCAAUAAAAAACCUGUGCAGUGGG